rnacentral:rRNA from 1 species
CAACUUUCAACAACGGAUCUCUUGGCUCUCGCAUCGAUGAAGAACGUAGCGAAUUACGAUAUGUAAUGUGAAUUGCAGAAUUCAGUGAAUCAUCGAAUCUUUGAACGCACCUUGCGCUCUUUGGUAUUCCGAAGAGCAUGCCUGUUUGAGUGUCAUG